UACGUAGGGUGCGAGCGUUGUCCGGAAUUACUGGGCGUAAAGCGCGUGUAGGCGGCCUGAUAAGUCGGAUGUGAAAGCCCUCGGCUUAACCGAGGAAGGGCAUUCGAUACUGCCAGGCUAGAGUACCGGAGAGGGUCGUGGAAUUCCUGGUGUAGAGGUGAAAUUCGUAGAUAUCAGGAGGAACACCGGCGGCGAAGGCGGCGACCUGGACGAGUACUGACGCUCAGACGCGAAAGCGUGGGUAGCAAACAGG
rnacentral:rRNA from 1 species